AUGUGUGAUGUCUCUGAAGAGUUUUGGGUUCAGGUCAUCAACCUGAAAUGGAGCUGGGUCAUCCUCUUCCUUGUUGCAGCAGCUACAGGUGUCCACUCCCAGGUCCAGCUGCAGCAGUCUGGGUCUGAGGUGGGGAGAUCCGGGGUCUCAGUGAAGCUGUCCUGCAAGGCUUCUGGAUGCACCUUUACCGGCUACUAUAUGAACUGGAUGAAGCAGAGGCCUGGACAGGGGCUGGAGUGGAUUGGGUGGAUUGGUCGUGGAAGUGGCAGCCCUAGCUAUGUCCAGAAGUUCCAGGGCAAGGCCACACUGACUGCAGACACAUCCUCCAGCACAGCCUACAUGGAGCUCCGCAGCCUGAUACCUGAGGACUCUGUGGUCUAUUACUCUAGGGAGAUUUCAAAACCCCACUUUCACCAAGGGACA